AAAUUAUAUCACUACUUAUUUUUUAACGUUAAAAUUAAUAUAUUUCAGAAACCAGUCCAACUCUCUAACAUUAAUUUAGAGUAUUUUAGAAUACUUGAACUCCGUUUGGAUGUUUGCUUGCCAAGUACAUGCACUGAAGAUGAUUUGUACAAUAUUAUGAAAUUAUUUAAUUUCGGAACUCAGUUGCCUAUUACUUUCAGGGCGGAUUUCUGUGCAACAAAAGACAGGAAAAUAAAAUACACAACAGCUGAAAUUGUUAGCAUAGUAUUCUUUAGCGUCUUUUUCGUUUGGGUGACAUUAGCAACAACUGUCGACGUUAUGCGAAGAUUGAAUAUCAUACCAAAUAAUGAAACCAACUUCUUUAAGAAUAUUAUCUCC
rnacentral:lncRNA from 1 species